GUUUGAUCUAUGAAUCAAGUGGAAACACAACAUCAUGAUCAUCUUCUUCUGUGUAACCUUCAAUGUUUUCCUGGUUUCAGUGUCUUCUCAAAGUGAUCAAGUUCACCAGAAUCCUCGUCACAUUUACUCCCAAACUGGACAAACGGCCACAAUCACGUGUCGGCAUGAACUUCAGGACUACACCUGGAUCUUCUGGUACAAGCAGCCCAGCGGCAGCAGCCACAUGGAGCUCCUCGGAUACAUGAACGUGAAUAACGGGCUAAUGGAGGACGGAGUGACGGCGAAGCUGAGCGGCGGUGCGAUGAAGGGUCAAACGUGCACGUUCACAGCCGAGAAGCUCCAGCUCAGCAGCACUGCUGUGUACUUCUGUGCUGCUUCUCGGCACAGUGCAACUUUUCCCUGCUCCUCAAUACAAAAACCAGCAUGAAUCAUGUCAGGAGGGUGCACCUGGCUCUCCCCUCAGUCCCUGGUCUCCCCCUGCAGAGCCACAUCAGAUAAAAGGGUGGAGCUUCAGGGAGGAAACAAAAGCCUG